rnacentral:snRNA from 1 species
AAAAUUGGAACGAUACAGAGAAGAUUAGUAUGGCCCAUAUGCAAGGAUAACACGCAAAUUCAUGAAGCAUUCCAUAUUAAA